rnacentral:misc_RNA from 1 species
GUGUUGAUUAAUGGGCUUUGUCGGAAAGGUGACUUGGCUCGAGCUGCAAAGCUUGUGGAUAACAUGUUUCUUAAAGGGUGUGUUCCAAAUGAUGUGACUUAUAACACACUUAUACACGGUUUGUGCCUGAAAGGUAAAUUGGAGAAAGCAGUUAGUUUAUUGGAUAGAAUGGUGUCAAAUAAGUAUAUACCAACUGAUAUAACCUAUGGAACGAUUAUCAAUGGGUUUGUUAAGCAAAG